UAAUCCAGCUACUAGCUAACAGUAACUUAGCGUCCCGUGCAGCAAUGCUUCUGAAAAAAAAAAGACAGGCUC